UACGAAGGGGGCUAGCGUUGUUCGGAUUUACUGGGCGUAAAGCGCACGUAGGCGGAUCGUUAAGUCGGGGGUGAAAUCCUGGAGCUCAACUCCAGAGCUGCCUUCGAUACUGGAAGACUUGAGUCCGGGAGAGGUGAGUGGAACUGCGAGUGUAGAGGUGAAAUUCGUAGAUAUUCGCAAGAACACCAGUGGCGAAGGCGGCUCACUGGCCCGGUACUGACGCUGAGGUGCGAAAGCGUGGGGGAGCAAACAGG
rnacentral:rRNA from 1 species